rnacentral:rRNA from 1 species
UGGGUGACCUGCCCUCAGCUCUGGGAUAAGCCCGGGAAACUGGGUCUAAUACCGGAUAUGACCUCUCAUCGCAUGGUGGGUGGUGGAAAGUUUUUCGGCUGGGGAUGGGCCCGCGGCCUAUCAGCUUGUUGGUGGGGUGAUGGCCUACCAAGGCGACGACGGGUAGCCGGCCUGAGAGGGCGACCGGCCACACUGGGACUGAGACACGGCCCAGACUCCGUACGGGA